rnacentral:rRNA from 1 species
UACGGAGGGUGCAAGCGUUAUCCGGAUUCACUGGGUUUAAAGGGUGCGUAGGUGGGCAGGUAAGUCAGUGGUGAAAUCUCCGGGCUUAACCCGGAACUGCCGUUGAUACUAUCUGUCUUGAAUCCCCUGGAGGUGAGUGGAAUAUGUCAUGUAGCGGUGAAAUGCUUAGAUAUGACAUAGAACACCGAUUGCGAAGGCAGCUGGCUACAGGGAUAUUGACACUGAGGCACGAAAGCGUGGGGAUCAAACAGG